rnacentral:lncRNA from 1 species
UUUCCAUGGCCCUCCACAUGUCCACAAGGAUCUACAUGCAAAAAAUCAGCUCUUUAUUGAAGCCAGAGGUGCUUCAGUUGAUCAAUGGAAUCGGAAAUCAGACAGUUUGGGAAAAGUCAACUGUGGGGCCAAAAAAAGUCAACUCUUGACAUUUUGAAAGUGGAAUCUCAAAAUUCAUGCCUAAGGAAGCCUACAUGUGAAAUUUGAUCAAGGUUGGAUCAUGGAUUCAUCAUUUAAUCAGAAGUUGGAAAAGUU